UUCGCUUUCAUCCUGCUCGGGUUAGCUGAUGAUUGAAUAGGGGCAGCUGUAACACCCCAAAAUUUGCCCUCCUCAUUCAUGCAUUCAUUUAGCAUUUCAUAUUGCAUUUCAUCAUGUAAAUCAGAAUUAGAUCCAAAAAAUAAAAAAUAAAAAAUAAAUAAAUAAAUAAAAUAUAAUAGAAAAAACUUGGACUUGUACCUCUCUCAUUUGAGCCCACAAAGCCAUGAAAAUCAGGUUAUAAAAGAGGGAGAUCAGACAGAAAAAGGAAGAAAAGCAAAAUACUCUGAGGUUUCCUUGAAACAAAACCCUGGACAAAAUCUGGAGAGGAACCUGACAGAGAACUUAGAGCAACCCCCAUCUCACGCAAACCCUAACAUUUCAACCG
rnacentral:lncRNA from 1 species